CCUACGGGUGGCAGCAGUGAGGAAUAUUGGUCAAUGGGCGCGAGCCUGAACCAGCCAAGUAGCGUGAAGGAUGACUGCCCUACGGGUUGUAAACUUCUUUUAUAAAGGAAUAAAGUGAGGCACGUGUGCCUUUUUGUAUGUACUUUAUGAAUAAGGAUCGGCUAACUCCGUGCCAGCAGCCGCGGUAAUACGGAGGAUCCGAGCGUUAUCCGGAUUUAUUGGGUUUAAAGGGAGCGUAGGUGGGUUGUUAAGUCAGUGGUGAAAGGUCGCGGCUCAACAGUAGAAUUGCAGUUGAUACUGGUGAUCGAGAGUGUAGAUGAGGUAGGCGGAAGUGAUGGUGUAGCGGUGAAAUGCUUAGAGAUCAUAAAGAACACCGAUUGCGAAGGCAGGUUACCAAGCUGCAUCUGACGUGGAGGCUCGAAAGCGUGGGGAGCAAACAGGAUUAGAUACCCGGGUAAUC
rnacentral:rRNA from 1 species